AUACGAAAGGGGCUAGCGUUGUUCGGAAUUACUGGGCGUAAAGCGCACGUAGGCGGCACUGUAAGUUGGGGGUGAAAUCCCAGGGCUCAACCCUGGAACUGCCUCCAAAACUACAGAGCUAGAGGAUGUGAGAGGAUAGUGGAAUUCCGAGUGUAGAGGUGAAAUUCGUAGAUAUUCGGAAGAACACCAGUGGCGAAGGCGACUGUCUGGCACAUUUCUGACGCUGAGGUGCGAAAGCGUGGGGAGCGAACAGGAUUAGAAACCCUAGUAGUCC
rnacentral:rRNA from 1 species